rnacentral:lncRNA from 1 species
UCCUCAAGAUUCAAGCAACCUACAUCAACUUUGGCGAAGAGUCAAGCCACUUGCAUCCAAUAGAGAUCAUAGCACAUGGCGAAGGCCGAGGCCAAGUCCUCUGUAAUCUCUGCUUCAAAGGCCUCCGAGGCGUUACACUCCUCCAUAGCCUAGAGCUUAGCCUCGGUGAUAAUCGACAAUCUCUCCUCAGUUGCCUUCUCCUUGCUUGCUACAAAGCUCCUCCUCGACCACUUCCGAGCUGCCGCCAACUCCCUUUCCAGCUCGGCAACCUUCUCCAAUUGGAUAUCGGCCACUGCUCUCUCAUAAGUGGCUUGCCCCUCGAGCACCCCCAUCUGAUGGCAUGUAUACUGGAGUUCGAAACCUUCUACACAGCAAUUGAGGUGCAAGAGUACAGCAUUAACCCAAAGACAACCCUCCUCAGAUACUCCCAAUGACCAAAAAUGACUCUCUAAAAAAACUACUCCCAUCGCCCAAAAUCAGCUAGUCACUUCGAACUCAAUAGUGAG